AUUCGUGUCUAGUGCGCGUGUAUUAGACGUUUGCAGAGGGAGUUGAAUUUCACGUAGAUAGCUAGGCUAGCUAGCUUGCUAUAGUUUGCAGUUGAAGCGCAGUUUGUAAUUUUAUCCAUAACAUUCUCCAGAUUUUUACAGUAUGAGUAACGUUGGUUUUUCGGCUGUACGGGGGAGCACUUCUGAGGGACCUGAUAAGGUUGACAUGUCUUUAGAUGAUAUCAUUCGUCUGAACAAGAAAGAGCAACAAGCACGGAGGCCAGGCCCGGGGAACCGCAGGCCAUUACAGAAAGGAAAGGGCUUUGUGCAAGGGAAACCAGUUGGAGCGAGAGCUGGAGGACAGACCCAAAGAGGAGGUGGUGUAGCAAGAAGGGGGGUAACGAGAGUGGGUGUUGGAAGAGGCCGGAAGAUUCCCCCUCUGGUUGGUCAAAGCCGGGGUCAAGGGGUUAUCACUGGACUGGCGGCCUGGAAGACGGCAGCCGUACAGAAAGGAAUCAGUCCACUCAACCGACCGACUGUCAACCAGAAGUCACGGCCCUUCAACAACCAACCGCGGCCCUUCAACAACCAACCGCGGCCCUUCAACAACCAACCGCGGCCCUUCAACAACCAACCGCGGCCCUUCAACAACCAAUCGUGGCCUUUUAUCCAAUCAGCCCAAUUCAGACAGACGCAAGGCCAGAGGAGGCCGUACAGACAGACAGACGUACAGAGAGGCCCCAACACGAUGACACAGACAAGACCCGUUCAGCUGCGGGGACGGCCUCUGCCCCCUGUCCAUCAAACCCAGAGAGAAGCCCGCCAGGCCACGUUUCUCUUCCACAGGGGCCUCAAGGUUCAUGCCCAGGUGCAGAAGCCAGCUCCAACAUCUCUACCCCUACUCCAGUUAGAUCUCGCCAAUGGCGCACGUCAACAAACAGCAGUGGGAUCCUGACCGUUUCCAUCGACAACCCAACUGCCACCAUGAUGCAGCCUGAGCCUCCCAGUGCUUGGUCCCUGCACCCCUCGGCACCCAUCAGCCCGGCCCCAGUCAAGGUGGAGGAGGAGAAGAAACCAGUACCACCUAAAGGAGUCCCCCUGCAGUUUGACAUCAACAGCGUGGGGAAACAGACGGCGCUGACUUUGAAUGAGCGAUUCCGCAUCCUGAAAGACCAGCGCAUCGCCACUGCGCAGACCAGCAAAGGCAGCCGAUUCGUCACCGUGGGUUAAUCCAACGAUACGAAGGAAACCUUUGUGUUCCACUCAGACAGACACGCACUCUGACCCACACUUAUCUAAUUUGCUGGAACCAUUCAAAAGGUCCCUGCACUGAUCUUAAGCUGAUUCUCCUGAGUGACUUUCCUCAUGGAGCAGCAGAAUGAGAUACAAAGUGCACUACUCCUCAAAUGUGAGAACUAUAUACGGGUGCAGUUAUUGUGGAAUAUUUUUUUUUUUGUACCAUGAUAGGACACUCAUUAUUCAUAACAAUGUAUACUGACCAAAAAUAUAAAUGCAACAAUUUCAAAGAUUUUACUGAGUUACUGUUCAUAUAAGAAAAUCGGUCAAUUUAAAUAAGUAAAUUAGGCCUUAAUCUAAUGAUUUCACAUGACUGGGCAGGGGUGCAGUCUGGGGAGCCAGGCCCAACCAAUCAGAAUGAGGUUUUUUCCCACAAAAUGGCUUUAUUACAGACAAAUACUCCUCAGCUUCACCAGCUGUCCGGGUGGCUGGUCUUGGACAAUCCCGCAGCUGAAGAAGCCAGAUGUGGAGGUCCUGAGCUGGCUUGGUUACACGCUGUAAGGCCGAUUGGAGGUCCUGCCAAAUUCUCUAAAUCUACGUUGGAGGCGGCUUAUGGUAGCGAAAUUAACAUUAUGUUCUCUGGCAACAGCUCUGGAUGACAUUCCUGCAGUCAGCAUGCCAAUUGCAUGCUCCCUCAACCUGAGACAUCUUAUGGCGUGUUCUGUGACUGCAAUUUCUUUUUUUCAGCACAAGGUGCACCUUUGUAAUGAUCAUGCUGUUUAAUCAGAUUCUUGAUAUGUUACACCUGUCAGGAGGAUGGAUUAUCUUGGCAAAAGAGAAAUGCUCACUAACAUGGAUGUAAACAAAUUUGUGCACAAAAUUUGAGAAAUAUUUUGUGAAUAUGGAACAUUUCUGGGAUCUUAUUUCAGCUCAUGAAACGUGACCAAUGCUUUACAUGUUGCGUUUAUAUUUUUGUUCAGUGUACUUAGCUGUUGUCUUCAGGAGCUUCAACAUUUGUCUGGAUGUAAAGGAAAAUCCCCUUUCUCACAAGGAGUGCAGCUGUGGGAGUUGUACUGAAGAACAUUGGAAGAAUGUUUUUCAAUACGGAUGUUGCUUUGUGCCAGAAGGAAAGGGUUUUGUUUAGUGUCUUUUAUUAAAUUCUUUUUUUAUUGAUGGGACAUUUUUUUAAAUACUAUUUGUUUUGUUUCAAAUAUAGAAAUGUGGGACUUUGUUUCCCUCUCUAGCUAGAUUUCCAUCGAAUUCACAACUGAUUGUUCAUGCUAAUAUUCUAAAGUCUACAUAAAGGAAAUACACAUUUUCCCACCUGUGGAGUUUUUCCACCAAACAGACUUGUUGCAGAUAAAAAUCAGGGGUGUGUGAUGACGAAGUGUAGACAAUUUACUUUUAAGUUUUCAUGUACCGAAUAAAAAUCUGAAGUUCA